rnacentral:rRNA from 1 species
CUACGGGAGGCAGCAGUAGGGAAUUUUGCGCAACGGGGGAAACCCUGACGCAGCAACGCCGCGUGAACGAUGACGCUUUUCGGAGUGUAAAGUUCUGUCAGUGGGGACGAAUUUUGACGGUACCCACAGAGGAAGCACCGGCUAACUCCGUGCCAGCAGCCGCGGUAAUACGGAGGGUGCAAGCGUGGUCCGGAAUCAUUGGGCGUAAAGAGUUCGUAGGCGGUAUGUUAAGUCUGGUGUUAAAGCCCGAAGCUCAACUUCGGUUCGGCACUGGAUACUGGCAAACUUGAAUGUGGUAGAGGUAAAGGGAAUUCCUGGUGUAGCGGUGAAAUGCGUAGAUAUCAGGAGGAACAUCGGUGGCGUAAGCGCUUUACUGGGCCAUAAUUGACGCUGAGGAACGAAAGCCAGGGUAGCAAAUGGGAUUAGAUACCCUAGUAGUC